UAGUCCACGCCGUAAACGAUGGAUACUAGCUGUUUAUGGUUUUUCAUAGGAUCAUAAGUGGCCAAGCGAAAGUGAUAAGUAUCCCACCUGGGGAGUACGUUCGCAAGAAUGAAACUCAAAGGAAUUGACGGGGGCCCGCACAAGCGGUGGAGCAUGUGGUUUAAUUCGAUGAUACGCGAGGGACCUUACCAAGGCUUAAAUGCAAUACGAAUAAUUUGGAAACAGAUUAGUCCCUUGGACGGAUUGCAAGGUGCUGCAUGGUUGUCGUCAGCUCGUGCCGUGAGGUGUCAGGUUAAGUCCUAUAACGAGCGCAACCCCUGUUGUUAGUUGCCAGCAAGAAAGAUGGGGACUCUAACAAGACUGCCGGUGCAAACCGUGAGGAAGGUGGGGAUGACGUCAAAUCAUCACGGCCCUUAUGUCUUGGGCUACACACGUGCUACAAUGGCAGGUACAGCGAGCAGCCAUCCCGCGAGGGAGCGCGAAUCUCGAAAGCCUGUCAC
rnacentral:rRNA from 1 species